rnacentral:tRNA from 1 species
GGAUGGGUACCCAAGUGGUUGAAGGGACCGGUCUUGAAAACCGGCGACGGUUCGCGCCGUCCGUGGGUUCGAAUCCCACCUCAUCCG